rnacentral:rRNA from 1 species
AUCGUAGCCGACUUGAGAGGGGUGAUUGGCCACACAUGGAAAUGAGAGCCCGGUCCAGAGAUUCUACGGGAGAGCAGCAGUAGGGAAUUUUUUGGCAAUGGGGGAAAACCUUGAUGAGCACCAUCCGGGUGAGUGAAGAAGGUUUUUGGAUUGUAAAACUCUUUUAUCAGGGAAGAACGAACGUUUAAGUAAUUGUUCACAUUUUGGCGGUUCCUGAUCAAAAAACCACGGGUAAAUUCGGUCCAGCAACCGGGGUAAUUCGUGGGGGGCCAGGGUUUUCUGGAAUUUUUGGGGGUAAAGGGGGGGUUGGUGGUUUUUUAAGUUUGAUGUGAAAGCCCCCGGGUUAACCGUGGAAGGGUCCUUGGAAACUGGACAAGCUUGAGUUCAGUAGAGGGAGGUGGAAUUUCCUGUGUAGGGGUGAAAUGGGCAGAUAUAUGGAGGAACCCCCGUGGGGAAGGGGGCUUUCUGGUCUGUAUACUGACGCAUGAUGUUGCGAAAGGGUGGGGAUCAAACCGGAUUAGAUUCCCUGGUAGUUCCCCGCCGUAAACGAUGAUUGCUAAGUGUUGGGGGGUUUCCGCGUCUUUAGUGGCUGCAGCUAACGCAUUAAUCACUCCCCCGGGGGAGUACGACCGCAAGGUUAAAACUCAAAGGAAUUGACGGGGACCCCCACAACCGGGGGAGCAUGGGGGUUUAUUUCAAACCACCCCAAAAAACCUUACCAGAUCUUGACAUCCUUUGACUGCUCUAAAGAUAGGAAUGCUUCCCCUUCGGGGGACAAAGUGACAGGUGGUGCAUGGUUGUCAUCUCCUCGUGUCAUGAGAUGUUGGGUUAACUCCCGCAACGCGCGCCCUUGUCCUAAGCUUUACUGCCAUCAUUAUGGUGGGGCACUCUAAGUUGACUGCCCGGUGACAAACCGGGAGGAAGGUGGGGGAUGACGUCAAAUCAUCAUGCCCCUUUAGUGGAUUUGGGGCUACACACGUGCUACAAUGGUACAAUACAGAGGGUCUAGCCUAAGACCGCGAGGUGCGAGCUAAUCCCACUAAAAGUCUGAUUCGUCAGUCUCGGGAUCUGCAGUC